UACGGGGGGGGUAAGCGUUGUUCGGAAUUACUGGGCGUAAAGGGCUCGUAGGCGGCCAACUAAGUCAGACGUGAAAUCCCUCAGCUUAACUGGGGAACUGCGUCUGAUACUGGAUGGCUUGGAUUUGGGAGAGGAAUGCGGAAUUCCAGGUGUAGCGGUGAAAUGCGUAGAUAUCUGGAGGAACACCGGUGGCGAAGGCGGCAUUCUGGACCAAUAUUGACGCUGAGGAGCGAAAGCCAGGGGAGCAAACAGG
rnacentral:rRNA from 1 species